GACAGAGGGUGCAAACGUUGUUCGGAAUUACUGGGCGUAAAGCGCGUGUAGGCGGCUAUGCAAGUCGGAUGUGAAAUCCCCAGGCUUAACCUGGGAACUGCAUCCGAUACUGGUCGGCUUGAAUCCGGGAGAGGGAUGCAGAAUUCCAGGUGUAGCGGUGAAAUGCGUAGAUAUCUGGAGGAAUACCGGUGGCGAAGGCGGCAUCCUGGACCGGCAUUGACGCUGAACAGCGAAAGCUAGGGAGCAAACGGG
rnacentral:rRNA from 1 species